AAGAAAACAAAAUUUUAGCUCUGCAUGAUGCGGCAGAAGCGAAAGGCACCAGAUUUGCUGGAGUAACUGUGGUAGCUGCUGAGGCGUACCCCAGUACAGUG
rnacentral:snoRNA from 1 species